rnacentral:rRNA from 1 species
UACGAAGGGUGCAAGCGUUACUCGGAAUUACUGGGCGUAAAGCGUGCGUAGGUGGUUCGUUAAGUCUGAUGUGAAAGCCCUGGGCUCAACCCUGGGAUGCCGGUCGAUACUGCCGGACUAGAGUUCGGAAGAGGCGAGUGGAAUUCCCGGUGUAGCGGUGAAAUGCGCAGAUAUCGGGAGGAACACCAAUGGCGAAGGCAGCUCGCUGGGACGUUACUGACGCUGAGACGCGAAAGCGUGGGGGAGCAAACAGG